AUUGAACGCUGGCGGAAUGCUUUACACAUGCCAGUCGAACGGCAGCACGGGGGCAGCCCUGGUGGCGAGUGGCGAACGGGUGAGUAAUACAUCGGAACGUGCCCGGUCGUGGGGGAUAACGUAGCGAAAGUUACGCUAAUACCGCAUACGAUCUGAGGAUGAAAGCGGGGGACCUUCGGGCCUCGCGCGAUCGGAGCGGCCGAUGUCAGAUUAGGUAGUUGGUGGGGCAAAGGCCUACCAAGCCGACGAUCUGUAGCUGGUCUGAGAGGACGACCAGCCACACUGGGACUGAGACACGGCCCAGACUCCUACGGGAGGCAGCAGUGGGGAAUUUUGGACAAUGGGCGCAAGCCUGAUCCAGCCAUUCCGCGUGCAGGACGAAGGCCUUCGGGUUGUAAACUGCUUUUGUACGGAACGAAAAGGCUCUGGCUAAUACCUGGGGCUCAUGACGGUACCGUAAGAAUAAGCACCGGCUAACUACGUG
rnacentral:rRNA from 1 species